GAGUUUGAUCAUGGCUCAGGAUGAACGCUGGCGGUAUGCCUAACACAUGCAAGUCGUACGAGAAUUUAUUCAAGUGGCGGACGGGUGAGUAACACGUGAGAAUUUGCCUUUAGGAGGGGGACAACAGUGGGAAACCGCUGCUAAUACCCCAUGUGCUUUCGAGUAAAAUGGAUUUAUCCGCCUAGAGAGAAGCUCGCGGCUGAUUAGCUUGUUGGUAAGGUAAUGGCUUACCAAGGCGACGAUCAGUAUCUGGUUUGAGAGGAUGAUCAGACACACUGGAACUGAGACACGGUCCAGACUCCUACGGGAGGCAGCAGUGGGGAAUUUUCCGCAAUGGGCGAAAGCCUGACGGAGCAAUACCGCGUGAGGGAAGACUGCCUAUGGGUUGUAAACCUCUUUUCUCAGGGAGGAACAUAAUGACGUGUACCUGAGGAAUAAGCAUCGGCUAACUCCGUGCCAGCAGCCGCGGUAAGACGGAGGAUGCAAGUGUUAUCCGGAAUCACUGGGCGUAAAGCGUCUGUAGGUUGUUUGAUAAGUCAACUGUUAAAUCUUGAAGCUCAACUUCAAAAUCGCAGUCGAAACUAUUAGACUAGAGUAUAGUAGGGGUAAAGGGAAUUUCCAGUGGAGCGGUGAAAUGCGUAGAGAUUGGAAAGAACACCGAUGGCGAAGGCACUUUACUGGGCUAUUACUGACACUCAGAGACGAAAGCUAGGGUAGCAAAUGGGAUUAGAUACCCCAGUAGUCCUAGCUGUAAACAAUGGAUACUAGAUGUUGGGCAGAUCGACCUGUUCAGUAUCAAAGCUAACGCGUUAAGUAUCCCGCCUGGGAAGUAUGCGCGCAAGCGUGAAACUCAAAGGAAUUGACGGGGGCCCGCACAAGCGGUGGAGCAUGUGGUUUAAUUCGAUGCAACGCGAAGAACCUUACCAGGGUUUGACAUGGUACGAAUCUUUUUGAAAGAAAAGAGUGCCGUUUGGAACGUAUACACAGGUGGUGCAUGGCUGUCGUCAGCUCGUGUCGUGAGAUGUUGGGUUAAGUCCCGCAACGAGCGCAACCCUUAUUUUUAGUUGCCUUUUAAGGAACUCUAGAAAGACUGCUGGUUAUAAACCGGAGGAAGGCGGGGAUGACGUCAAGUCAGCAUGCCCCUUACACCCUGGGCUACACACGUGCUACAUUGGGCGAGACAAUGAGAUGCAAACCUGCGAAGGCUAGCUAAUCUAUAAACUCGUUCUAAGUUCGGAUUGCAGGCUGCAACUCGCCUGCAUGAAGGUGGAAUCGCUAGUAAUCGCUGGUCAGCAUACAGCGGUGAAUUCGUUCCCGGGCCUUGUACACACCGCCCGUCACACCAUGGAAGCUGGUUAUACCCGAAGUCGUUACUCUAACCGUUCGCGGAGGAGGAUGCCUAAGGUAGAAUUAGUGACUAGGGUGAAGUCGUAACAAGGUAACC
rnacentral:rRNA from 1 species